rnacentral:rRNA from 1 species
UACGUAGGGUCCAAGCGUUAAUCGGAAUUACUGGGCGUAAAGCGUGAGUAGGCGGUCUCGCAAGUCCGAUGUGAAAUCCCCGGGCUUAACCUGGGAACUGCGUUGGAAACUAUGAGACUAGAGUGCGGCAGAGGGGGGUGGAAUUCCAGGUGUAGCAGUGAAAUGCGUAGAUAUCUGGAGGAACACCGAUGGCGAAGGCAGCCCCCUGGGUUAGCACUGACGCUCAUACACGAAAGCGUGGGGAGCAAACAGG